rnacentral:rRNA from 1 species
AGUCGAACGGGAAACUUUUCAUUGAAGCUUCGGCAGAUUUGGUCUGUUUCUAGUGGCGGACGGGUGAGUAACGCGUGGGUAACCUGCCUUAUACAGGGGGAUAACAACCAGAAAUGGUUGCUAAUACCGCAUAAGCGCACAGGACCGCAUGGUCCGGUGUGAAAAACUCCGGUGGUAUAAGAUGGACCCGCGUUGGAUUAGCUAGUUGGCAGGGUAACGGCCUACCAAGGCGACGAUCCAUAGCCGGCCUGAGAGGGUGAACGGCCACAUUGGGACUGAGACACGGCCCAGACUCCUACGGGAGGCAGCAGUGGGGAAUAUUGCACAAUGGGGGAAACCCUGAUGCAGCGACGCCGCGUGAAGGAAGAAGUAUCUCGGUAUGUAAACUUCUAUCAGCAGGGAAGAUAGUGACGGUACCUGACUAAGAAGCCCCGGCUAACUACGUGCCAGCAGCCGCGGUAAUACGUAGGGGGCAAGCGUUAUCCGGAUUUACUGGGUGUAAAGGGAGCGUAGACGGACUGGCAAGUCUGAUGUGAAAGGCGGGGGCUCAACCCCUGGACUGCAUUGGAAACUGUUAGUCUUGAGUGCCGGAGAGGUAAGCGGAAUUCCUAGUGUAGCGGUGAAAUGCGUAGAUAUUAGGAGGAACACUAGUGGCGAAGGC